CCUACGGGAGGCAGCAGUGAGGAAUAUUGGUCAAUGGGCGGAAGCCUGAACCAGCCACGUAGCGUGCAGGAUGACGGCCCUACGGGUUGUAGACUGCUUUUAUACGGGAAUAACGCGCCUUACGUGUAGGGCUUUCCAUGUACCGUAUGAAUCAGGACCGGCUAAUUCCGUGCCAGCAGCCGCGGUAAUACGGAGGGUCCGGGCGUUAUCCGGAUUUAUUGGGUUUAAAGGGCGCGUAGGCCGCAUGUCAAGCGUGCUGUGAAAUGUCCGGGCUCAACCCGGGGCUUGCAGCGCGAACUGGCGGGCUUGAGUGCGCGGAAAGCAGGCGGAAUUCGUCGUGUAGCGGUGAAAUGCUUAGAUAUGACGAAGAACCCCGAUUGCGAAGGCAGCUUGCUGCAGCGGAACUGACGCUGAUGCUCGAAAGCGCGGGUAUCGAACAGGAUUAGAUACCCUUGUAGUC
rnacentral:rRNA from 1 species